AUGCUAUAACCUUUAUUGAUGGGUACUUUACAUAUAGCAACACUCUUCUGAUUAAGGACUAUGUCUAUAUACUGGCAAGAAAUCACUGUGAAUUUCUCUGUUCUUGAUUUAGGUUUCCAAUGGAGGUGGGGGACUAAUCUUAGGAUUCGUCCUCAUCCCCAUCCACCAAUGGAGGGACUGAGAGAAUUCAGUCUGUAGGCUUGUUGCUGUAGAGCUGCACUAGGAACUUCACAGUAGAUGGUGUUGAGUAACCAGAGAAGAGCAAUUGAUCUGACUCCAUAAGUCUCCUUCCAUACACCAAACUGAUGAAGUAAUGGUUGUGGAAUAAGUCCUUGGAUCCACUGUCAAAGGGAGCUGCAUUGCUUCCAUCGCUGCUCGAUGGGCAGGCAGCCUGAAGCUCUCACAUGAAGCUGCUGCUCAGUCUCUUAUCCGGCAUGGCUGUGCUCUCGAAGUCGUCAUGUAAUCUGUGGCUGAAGAACAAGCACCUUGCUGAUCCAAUUGUGUGCCCACCUUCAUAUAUUUGGAUCAAAAGGGGAAGGCAAGGACUCAUCUCCUGAUUGGUUCACCACGACCCCGUAUCUUCUUCCGAGCAAAACCUUCCACAAUGGUCCACCACUCUGUUCAAUGGAAAUGCCACACAUGUUUCAGAAAGGAGUGCAUGUUUGGUGUCCAAAUAGGCCUCGGAAAACACUAACCAAGAUCACAGAGUCUCGAGCAACCAGGCCAACAAUAUCAGCGUACAAAGUUAGGGUAGCAAACUUUUCGCUGUUUCUUCCAUCCAAUAGUAUUGAUUGAUCACAAACAUGUAAGAAAAUCAUUACCGUAAAUGUUACAUACAGUAUACGAAAAAAUGCUACAAUGCUGUCGAAAAGUGUUUGCUAAUUCACUCAACAUUGACAAAGUAGUCAUGGAAGUGAAGCCGAAGCAGAGAAGCAGCCAUCCUCGUGUCAGUCUUGGCGAAUAAAAAUCCGGAAUGUGCUGAGAAGUUGUGGCGCCGCAUUGCGUUGCAGUGGCUACAAACAACGACCAAAAACUACCAUCGCUGCUGCUGCCGCCGUCGAUCACCGCUUCUGCCGCCGUCGCUCCCGCUCUCCAAUUUCUACGUUCUUCAUUUGCUCAAUUUUAUGGAUCCGAAGCACACAGGAGAUGUGCUCAAGCAUCUGGAGAAACAGCAUGAACUUCUGAUGGAAGCAUAUCGGUCGAUGUCUCAUGAGUUGCAUACACUCCAGGUGGAGGAAGAAAUGCUGAUGAAGAAGUAUUACGAAUAUAUGGUAGCUCAAGGUUUCGAGAAGAGCAAAACUUGCACAAAUGCAACAAACCUUGAUGGAUCUGGUCAAGCUGGAGCAAUAGUUCCUAUCACCAAGGAAGAACAACCUCAAGGAGGCCAAUGAAAAAAAUUCCUGUCCAAUAUUGUUUAUACGGGUUAUGCAUUUCAAGAUUUUCUGUAGUAUCAUUUUGCUCAAUUUCUCCAUUCAAUAGAGAUGGAUUUGGAAGAAAAUUCAAAUUUAAAAAAUAAUAUAUAUUACAUAUACGGAAACCUUUUUUUUUUUCUCACAGUAUACUUCCAUUCAUAAUUGGAUGGAAAGUUUUUGCUUCUUUUUUGUUUUGUUUUGUUAGAACUCCCAAGCUAGAGGCAUAAUUUUUUCUGGUUAUUUAGUUUGUUUCAUAUGUUACAACCAAGUAAGCUUCACGGGUUUUAACAGCAUUGAAACUGGAAUUUAAUUUCAAAAGUGAUGUAUGAGGUCUGAAAACCACUACUAUUUGAGUAUAUUUUAUUAUUAACAUAGCAAGCAAGUUCUUGCCUGGUGUUGAUCUCCAACCAUGGCCAACAGCAACAAGAAGGUCCCCAGCCAGAGACAGAAGACAAAGAUCGACAAAGCAGAUAACUCAAGUAUGACAUGCAGUGAAAAUCCAGUCGAACCUCAUAGUGGAAGGACAAGCAGGCAGAUCUAAGGACAGAAUAGCUUAAUAUAAAUUUGUCUGGUUCAGAUUAGCAUGGAAUCCCAGUCUGCUAAAAAAGUCUCCAUUAGAGACAGUUGGAAGCGGAAAUCAAAAUGUCCUUAAUCUAUAAGCAGAAAACGGAAGUCCACAAAUCAUAAUUGCCACAAUGAUCCAUCUCACUAGAAAAGAACAAAUCUGCAAUGAUUAUAAUCUGCAACCACUGUAAAUAUUCAAGUCACUCAUGAGUAUAUGUAAUUAUUCAUGCUUAGCAGACUUAUUAUUGAUUUCUUUGUAUUAUAUGGUAUGAGGAUUUGCAGAAAUGUUGAGGGGAAAAACAGAAGCAGGUGCUUACCGGGGUCUUGAGUUGAUGAGCGUAGCAGCCCACCUAAAGCCACAAGAACCACCGUUCUUCUUAGUCUUCUGCCAGUAUUAACUGUUGAAACCAUAAGAUGCAUGUGCCACAAGAACCUCAGAGAAUCAUACCAUAAAACUCCUGCACAAGUAAGUGGAUGGUGAUGCCUUGAAGGCUCCCCACUUUCAUCGCAUCACAGAAAUCCUCCCAUUGAUUUCUCCAUUUGAACUUUCCUCCAAGAAAUCCUCUCUUCGUUGUUCUGUCCAAAAAUGCUGGUGGAAAGAGCGCAUUUUCUCCUCCUGUGCUGGCUUAUGCGGUGAGAUUGGAUUGAACUUAAAUAGUUUGGUGUCUGAAACUAUACCAGAUCAUCGAGAUUCCCAGACUCUGUCGAAAAGAGAGAAGUUCCAUAGAAAGAGAUUUCUUGCUUUGCUACUAAUCCUGCCAUGUACAUGUGAGAAUGAAUGUUGAUGAAACAGCAACAGCACAAUUUGUUCAGGCUCCUAAUUCGGAGAGCAGAAUUCUAUUUUAUUAAGUAUUGUUGGUUGUUAGAAAAAUUUUCAAUCCUAUUAUGUAUAUGUGAGUGAUUGUUGGAAAUUGAUGAUCUUGAUAAGGUAACCAGGAUGCCCUUUUAAAAUGUGUUCGGAAAUUGGUUAUGAUUAUAUGUU